rnacentral:tRNA from 1 species
UAGCCUUGUGGAUAAGGCUUCGGAUCGCCAAUCCGGAGACGGCGGGUUCAAUUCCCGU